CAUGGCAAGUCGUAACGAGGUAACCGUGUACUUGUCCGAUUGGAUGAGCAGCGAACGGCUGAUUACGCGUGGGGAAUCUGCCUUUGAGCGGGGGACAACCUUUGGAAACGAAUGCUAAUACCGCAUAAAAACUUUAAACACAAGUUUUAAGUUUGAAAGAUGCAAUUGCUUCACUCAAAGAUGAUCCCGCGUUGUAUUAGCUAGUUGGUGAGGUAAAGGCUCACCAAGGCGAUGAUACAUAGCCGACCUGAGAGGGUGAUCGGCCACAUUGGGACUGAGACACGGCCCAAACUCUACGGGAGGCAGCUGUAGGGAAUCUUCGGCAAUGGACGAAAGUCUGACCGAGCAACGCCGCGUGAGUGAAGUAGGUUUUCGGAUCGUAAAACUCUGUUGGUAGAGAAGAAGUUGGUGAGAGUGGAAAGCUCAUCAA
rnacentral:rRNA from 1 species